GACAGUAUCGGCCUCAGGAACUAAGAGCAUGCAGGGGAUGGCGAGGGAGGUUCUGGCCACGUAUUUCCAAAGGCUUCAUGGGAGUGAGAACCAUAGGAAGACCUGGGCAGCUCUGACUUUACAGAUCCAUGUACUUUAAAGCAACAGCUUAGGAGGCAGAAGAAGAAUAUACCAAAGAAAGUAUAGGAUAAUUGUCUGGGCUUUCCCUCCCUCCCCCCAAAAAAUGCCUAAAGUUUGGGGCUGCAGAAAUGGCUCAGAAUUUAAAAGCCCUUACUGCUCUUAUAGAGGGAGGUCCAGGGUUUCAUCCUUAACACCCACAUGGCUGAUCACAAUGGUCUGUAACUCCAGUUCCAGGGGACUCAUCACAGAGUUCAAGACCCAGCAGCU
rnacentral:rRNA from 1 species